CUUUGAUGAUGACAGUGUUAAUCCUGCUGCUGCUCCCCACGGGUCAGGCUGCCCCAAAGGAUGGAGUCAUAAGGCCAGACUCUGAAGUACAGCAUCAGCUCCUGCCCAACCCCUUCCAGCCAGGCCGGGAGCAGCUCGGGUGAGUAGGGUGGGCUGGGGGUGCUUUCAGGAAGACCAGGCCUGGGGCUGCAGACUCACCUCUCCCGCGCUGAUUCUUCACUUUUCUGACAGACUUCUGCAGAGCUACCUAAAGGGACUGGAAAGGACAGAAGUGCAGCCGGAGCAUCUGAGCCGGGAGCAGGGUGAGGGGCUGGGCUGAUGGGGCCAGGGACAGGAGGCUCCGGGCAGCCAGAUCUGGGACUAAUCUUGGCUGCCCCAUUGACUCCUGCCUUCUCCACCUCCCCCGGCACCUCUUCUAAUCCAGCUUCUCUUCUCUAGUUCUUCUCUACCUCUUUGCCCUCCAUGACUAUGACCAGAGUGGACAGCUGGAUGGCCUGGAGCUGUUGUCCAUGUUGACAGCUGCUCUGGUCCCUGGAGAUGCCA
rnacentral:sRNA from 1 species